rnacentral:rRNA from 1 species
GAUGAACGCUGGCGGCGUGCCUAAUACAUGCAAGUCGAGCGAACGGACGAGAAGCUUGCUUCUCUGAUGUUAGCGGCGGACGGGUGAGUAACACGUGGAUAACCUACCUAUAAGACUGGGAUAACUUCGGGAAACCGGAGCUAAUACCGGAUAAUAUUUUGAACCGCAUGGUUCAAAAGUGAAAGACGGUCUUGCUGUCACUUAUAGAUGGAUCCGCGCUGCAUUAGCUAGUUGGUAAGGUAACGGCUUACCAAGGCAACGAUGCAUAGCCGACCUGAGAGGGGGGACGGCCAAAGGGGAAAGAAAACAGGGCACAGCAACCAAGGGGGGGAACAAGUGGGAAAUCUUCAGCAAGGGGAGAAAGCCGGACGGAGAAACGCCGGGGGAGGAAAAAAGGUGUUAGGAUCGUAAAACUGUUUUAUGGGGGAAAAACAGAUGUGAAAGUACCUGUGCAAAUCUGGAGGGAACAAAAUAAAAAAACCACGGCAAACUCCGGC